GCUGGGAUAGCUCAGAUGGCUAGAGCAACUGAUUCGUAAUCAGUAGGUCGGGGGUUCGAGUCCCCCUUCCAGCACCA
rnacentral:tRNA from 1 species